AUGCUCUUUCAUUGAGGACAAAGUAUGUUUUAAGUGUGGAGGAGGGAACCAUUUAUUUGUUUUUUUUCUUUGUUUUGUUUUUAGUUUUUCUCUGUUUUUGAUUAAAAUUUAGAAUAAAUAAAAAAAUUGCAUGCUUUUUCCUUUGGUUUUUGAGUUACAAUUAUGAGUAUUUUUCUUAGUUCUCUUGACUAAAGUCUUGUGGUGUGAUGUGAAAAAUUUGAUGUGCAUUUUUAGUAUGAUAGGUAAUCCUUUGGUUUUUGAGUUACAAUUAUGAGUAUUUUUCUUAGUUCUCUUGACUAAAGUCUUGUGGUGUGAUGUGAAAAAUUUGAUGUGCAUUUUUAGUAUGAUAGGUAGGACUAAACUCUAAAUUGUACAUCAUUUGUGGUAGAUCAAUUAACCUUGUGAGAUUUUGAGCCUUAUAUGGAUAACAUACAAAAAUCCAUUUCUUUCUUUCUUGUGUGAUUCACUCAUGUCUGUUAGUCUCUAGAACUUGAAUUGACUCUUGUUGAUGUUGUUGUUUACUUGUGCACACUGAUAUGAUAAAGACAAUUUUGUUUUUGUUUUUUUAGCCAGUUAUCCAAAAAGCCAACUCUGAAAU
rnacentral:lncRNA from 1 species